AACGCGAAGAACCUUACCUGGGCUCGAAGCGCAGUGGACCGGGGUAGAAAUAUCCCUUCCCCUUAAAAGGCUGCUGCGUAGGUGCUGCAUGGCUGUCGUCAGCUCGUGUCGUGAGAUGUUGGGUUAAGUCCCGCAACGAGCGCAACCCUUAUCCCUAGUUGCCAUCGGGUCAAGCCGGGCACUCUAGUGAAACCGCCUGGGAUAACCAGGAGGAAGGUGGGGAUGACGUCAAGUCCUCAUGGCCUUUAUGUCCAGGGCUACACACGUGCUACAAUGGCCGGUACAAACCGUCGCAAACCCGUGAGGGGGAGCUAAUCGGAAAAAGCCGGCCUCAGUUCGGAUUGGAGUCUGCAACUCGACUCCAUGAAGCUGGAAUCGCUAGUAAUCGCGGAUCAGAACGCCGCGGUGAAUACGUUCCCGGGCCUUGUACACACCGCUACAGU
rnacentral:rRNA from 1 species